rnacentral:rRNA from 1 species
UGCAAAGGUAGCAUAAUCAUUAGUCUUUUAAUAGGAGGCUGGCAUGAAUGGUUUGACGAGGUGCUGACUGUCUCAUUUAAUUUUUAUUAGAAUUUAACUUUUUAGUUAAAAGGCUAAAAUAUUCUUGGAAGACGAGAAGACCCUAUAGAGCUUUAUAAUAUUUUGAUUAUCCUUAUUUAGUUUCAUUUCUUUGGCUAUUCAUUGUAUUAUUCUGUUGGGGUGACAAAAAUAUAUAAUUAACUUUUUUAUUUUACUACAUUAAUUUAUGGUUAAUAGGAUCCAUUUAUAGUGAUUAUUAGACUAAGUUACCUUAGGGAUAACAGCGUAAUCUUCUUUCAGAGUUCAAAUUUACAAGAAGGCUUGCGACCUCGAUGUUGGAUUAAGAUUAUAAUUAGGUGCAGCCGCUUAAUUUAUAGGUCUGUCGACCUUAAUUCUAC